rnacentral:rRNA from 1 species
GAUGAACGCUGGCGGCGUGCCUAAUACAUGCAAGUCGAGCGAACGGACGAGAAGCUUGCUUCUCUGACGUUAGCGGCGGACGGGUGAGUAACACGUGGAUAACCUACCUAUAAGACUGGGAUAACUUCGGGAAACCGGAGCUAAUACCGGAUAAUAUUUUGAACCGCAUGGUUCAAUAGUGAAAGACGGUUUUGCUGUCACUUAUAGAUGGAUCCGCGCUGCAUUAGCUAGUUGGUAAGGUAACGGCUUACCAAGGCAACGAUGCGUAGCCGACCUGAGAGGGUGAUCGGCCACACUGGAACUGAGACACGGUCCAGACUCCUACGGGAGGCAGCAGUAGGGAAUCUUCCGCAAUGGGCGAAAGCCUGACGGAGCAACGCCGCGUGAGUGAUGAAGGUCUUCGGAUCGUAAAACUCUGUUAUUAGGGAAGAACAUAUGUGUAAGUAACUAUGCACAUCUUGACGGUACCUAAUCAGAAAGCCACGGCUAACUACGUG